UACGUAGGGUGCAAGCGUUGUCCGGAAUUAUUGGGCGUAAAGGGCUCGUAGGCGGUCCGUCACGUCGGGAGUGAAAACUUGGGGCUUAACCCCAAGCCUGCUUCCGAUACGGGCGGACUAGAGGUAGGCAGGGGAGAACGGAAUUCCUGGUGUAGCGGUGAAAUGCGCAGAUAUCAGGAGGAACACCGGUGGCGAAGGCGGCCUUCUGGACAGUGACUGACGCUGAGACGCGAAAGCGUGGGGAGCAAACAGG
rnacentral:rRNA from 1 species